GUAAUUACAUCAGUUACUCACUAGAGCACAGACCUGCUUUAAAUUUUGGCCUCUGAGCCUGUGAGAAGCUGAAGGACUAGAAAAUGCGGUUUCAAAGGCCUGUAACACUCUGGAGCGUGCAACUCAAGCUGGGCUUUUCCCUCCCAGGAAUGAAGACUCCCAGUCACAUGUGAGGAGGAAUGAAUAUCCCUAUCAGCCACUGAAAUGGCUAAGAGAGCAGAACUGCUGCACCAGAAGAGGAUUUCCACUUUGCCAAAGCCUGGCCCACUGAAAAAAAAUGCAUAACUGAUCCCCUUUGCUUCUAGAGGGACCUGUUCAUGGAGCUGCCAAGAAGCUUCCUAGGUCAUGGUCCAUUCAAAAGCUGCCAGGAGUUCCAGGAUGGUGCAGGUCUGAUGGUCUGAAAACCAGCAAAGAGCACUAAUUCAUUAUGACAGCCUUGGAAAUAUAACAAAUAAUGUUAGGUGCUUUCCAUGGUACCAACAGUUCUCUAUAUCAUUUUUUGUGAGACUGGGAUUGGAGUACCCAAAACUGAGUGUACCCUCUCUGAGAUGUGCUUCAGGAUGCCUGACAUCUCUGCAAGCCAGGUCUUCCCUACCCCAUGCAUCCUAUGGACUGGAGAGCUGGGAUAGAGUGAACAAUAUUUAAGGUCUGGAUAUCUGGCACAGAGGGAGCAAGCAGAACAAUGGGAGGUUGUGGUGCCAGGGACAGGUGUAUCAGCAGGCCACAGAGCAUUUCUACAUUGCCAGAUGUUCUAUCCACCUCUGCCCUGACCUCUGGGCUGGGGUGGGAGUGUUUGCUCCCAGCUUUGCUCUGCAGGAUGUCAAAGAACAUUUACUUGCUUCCCAUGCCUGUAAACAUCUACCAAUUCACCUUUCUUAUAUAUGCUUUUCAGGUAAGAUCAAGCUUUCAUUCUUUCUAUUACUAUUCUCCCUGACGUUCUCUGCAAGCAAACUAUUGGCAAGUGAUGAAAUUCUCUACAUACAGACUGAAAUGUAGGGACUGCAUGGACAAAAUAGUAAUGCUAGUCAUAAUAAAAACAGCCCCAUUCGCUUUUCUCUGCAGCUCGCAAAAUAACAGCCCAGUUCAAAUUCUCAUCUGCUGUGAGAUAAAAAGUGUGAUUUACUCUAUCGGCUAUGGAGAGCAGACACGCACGGGGCAGUUAUCUCUGGCCAUAAACAAACUGGAGUGGCUUUGCCUUUUAACAGGCUCCCUUCUCCUCUCCUGUGGAGUGCUACUUUCCGCCUUACGUAACCCUCUGGGCAACUCCACUGACCUAUUUUGUUUUAAUAAACUUGAGCAGUUGGAGUUAUGCACCCUCCACUUCUCAGAUGCCAUUGCCACUCCACAGGGCUCCCUUUCCUGCCCUGCUCCACAAGGCUGUGUAGGUGAUGUCUUGGGAGAAGUUAAAUAAACGGCUUCCAUGUUCUGACACAGCCCGUAUGUGCCAAGCUUCCCUUUUGACUGUUAGCCUUGGAGAAGAGAAGGAAAAACCGAGUUGUCGAGGAAAAAGCAUAACCUUUCAGAAACAGUUUUUUAUUACCUUCCUUAUCGCUCCUUUAAGGUCAUAAAGAUUGUACCAAAGAAACUAUUGAGUUUUCCAGGAUUGCAAAAUAUUUUAUCGAUGAUGCACAUGAGGUAUGCUGUUCCACUUUUCAAUUUUUUUUUGGCAUUAAAUUUCCUUUUAUGUUCAGGGAUUUGAUCUUAAUGUUCCCUCCGUACCUUUCUGUUUCCAUCCUGCUUGGAGGCAGUCAGACAUGGUUAAUGGUUUCUUCUAGCCAGGAGCCUAGAGUGAGCUGCAAAUAGAAGACCUUGCAGGCAUUAAAAAACAAGCCAACAGUGAACAUGGGAUCUAGAACUGUGGGCACCAUGAUUUCUUGAGAGGCUGAGCAGCUGGCAUUGCCUCCCUCGUGGGUCUUAAUGUGGGGAUUGACUUCAGGAGAACAGUGACUGGCUGUUUUUUCAGCACUGGUUUUCUGUAGUACCUCAUCUGCUUAAGUUCAUUCAGGAUAUAUUCUUCCACCAAAAAAUAUUACUAAAAUUUAUUCUGUUGCUGAAAAACAUCUGUGAAAACCUAACACUGUAAUACUUCUAAUGGUUUAAUGCUGGGGUCUGAGCUGAGAUGGCCGCAUACUGGUGUAUCCACCAGGUUAUCCUGGGAAACAGCUAGGGUUCAAAUGCAGCAGGAGGCCAUCUGAGAUUCUCUUCCCCACAUGCUACAGUGGAGGAGCAGAUUAGUGUCCUGCUCAUAAUGAGUCCCUUACAAAUCCCAUUCUGGAAAGGGAUAUCCAGAGCUUUGGGAGAAACUCUGCAGAGUCUCAUGAGAGGCCCAGUUCUUCACACACUGGGAAGCGUUGUGGGUGGACUGCAAAGCUCUACUGAAUAUUGAGUUAAUCCAAGAUUUACAUGCCAUAAGCCUGCAGAAAUUGGGCUGUGGUGGGCUUUAGCUAAAGCAGUGUUAGCUAACCUCUUAAGAAACCCAGUUUUUCUCUCCCGUGCAGUCUUUCCGCUGGGUCUUGUUUUCCAGGUCCUGAUCUUCAUCUGGCAGAACACAGCUUCAUCCCAUUGAAAAGCCAGUGAAGCAGAUGGGAAGAUCUUGCCCCAACACAAUUCUGCUUCCUGAUUACAUGUGUGUUUCCACCAGGCAAGACAAUAAACCAAGCACUAGCAAUGGAAGAGUAGCAGACAGGCUCUUUCUCCUGUAACACAACAGUAUGGAAAGACUUCCCCUGUGACUGUAACAUGAAAAACAGAUGAAGGAGGGAACUGCUGGGGGAGCUUAUAAUUCCCAACUGGAAACAUAGACUCUUGGAUAGUGCCUUGUGAUGCUGAAGGCACCCCCAGUCUCUUAACGGCAGCUUAAAGAAGUCUGAUCCCUGGGCAGGAAGAAAAUGAAAAUUAAAUGUGAAGCAACGGCAAUCUGUAUCGGGGAAUGAAUUUCGGUAUAUUUGAUAAAGAGCUUCUUUUUGUUUCGUUUGAAGUAUCGAAUAACACGUGCUUCCUGCCAGAGCAUUUCAGAAAGUUGAACCAAACCACUGCCUAGGCAUCUGGAACUAAAGCUUGGUAAGUGCUAAAUCCACUUUUGAGUACUGUAACUCGUCCGUGAGUAAGAGACGACUAUUCUUCCAUUUCAGUUUAUUCAAAGACUUGGAUUCAGUGGCUUGUUCCUUCAAAGCUGAGAAACUGUGUGAGGUUUGGAAAAAGCAGACAAGCUUGUUUUUCCCCUCUGGUUUACAAGGAAAAUAAGGACGAGAGGACAAGAUCCAGCAGAUAUGAAAUGUUGGGGUAUAUGGUGUCCUGGAACAACCUGUUUAACCCACCAGCCACUGACAGUACUUCCUUUGUUUAGUAUUACUUUUUAUUUUCUGUUUUUGCAAUUAAUGUGGUUUUUUCAAGUAAUAAAAAUU